GGGUUGUGAGGUUAAGCGACUAAGCGUACACGGUGGAUGCCCUGGCAGUCAGAGGCGAUGAAGGACGUGCUAAUCUGCGAAAAGCGUCGGUAAGGUGAUAUGAACCGUUAUAACCGGCGAUGUCCGAAUGGGGAAACCCAGUGCAAUUCGUUGCACUAUCGUUAACUGAAUACAUAGGUUAACGAGGCGAACCGGGGGAACUGAAACAUCUAAGUACCCCGAGGAAAAGAAAUCAACCGAGAUUCCCCCAGUAGCGGCGAGCGAACGGGGAGCAGCCCAGAGUCUGAAUCAGCUUGUGUGUUAGUGGAACGGUCUGGAAAGUCCGACGGUACAGGGUGAUAGUCCCGUACACCAAAAUGCACAGGCUGUGAACUCGAAGAGUAGGGCGGGACACGUGGUAUCCUGUCUGAAUAUGGGGGGACCAUCCUCCAAGGCUAAAUACUCCUGACUGACCGAUAGUGAACCAGUACCGUGAGGGAAAGGCGAAAAGAACCCCGGCGAGGGGAGUGAAAAAGAACCUGAAACCGUGUACGUACAAGCAGUGGGAGCACCUUCGGGUGUGACUGCGUACCUUUUGUAUAAUGGGUCAGCGACUUAUAUUCUGUAGCAAGGUUAACCGUAUAGGGGAGCCGCAGGGAAACCGAGUCUUAACUGGGCGUUAAGUUGCAGGGUAUAGACCCGAAACCCGGUGAUCUAGCCAUGGGCAGGUUGAAGGUUGGGUAACACUAACUGGAGGACCGAACCGACUAAUGUUGAAAAAUUAGCGGAUGACUUGUGGCUGGGGGUGAAAGGCCAAUCAAACCGGGAGAUAGCUGGUUCUCCCCGAAAGCUAUUUAGGUAGCGCCUCGUGAACUCAUCUUCGGGGGUAGAGCACUGUUUCGGCUAGGGGGUCAUCCCGACUUACCAACCCGAUGCAAACUACGAAUACCGAAGAAUGUUAUCACGGGAGACACACGGCGGGUGCUAACGUCCGUCGUGAAGAGGGAAACAACCCAGACCGCCAGCUAAGGUCCCAAAGUCAUGGUUAAGUGGGAAACGAUGUGGGAAGGCACAGACAGCCAGGAUGUUGGCUUAGAAGCAGCCAUCAUUUAAAGAAAGCGUAAUAGCUCACUGGUCGAGUCGGCCUGCGCGGAAGAUGUAACGGGGCUAAACCAUGCACCGAAGCUGCGGCAGCGACACUAUGUGUUGUUGGGUAGGGGAGCGUUCUGUAAGCCUGCGAAGGUGACCUGUGAGGGUUGCUGGAGGUAUCAGAAGUGCGAAUGCUGACAUAAGUAACGAUAAAGCGGGUGAAAAGCCCGCUCGCCGGAAGACCAAGGGUUCCUGUCCAACGUUAAUCGGGGCAGGGUGAGUCGACCCCUAAGGCGAGGCCGAAAGGCGUAGUCGAUGGGAAACAGGUUAAUAUUCCUGUACUUGGUGUUACUGCGAAGGGGGGACGGAGAAGGCUAUGUUAGCCGGGCGACGGUUGUCCCGGUUUAAGCAUGUAGGCUGGUUGUCCAGGCAAAUCCGGAUAAUCAAGGCUGAGGUGUGAUGACGAGGCACUACGGUGCUGAAGUAACAAAUGCCCUGCUUCCAGGAAAAGCCUCUAAGCAUCAGGUAACAUUGAAUCGUACCCCAAACCGACACAGGUGGUCAGGUAGAGAAUACCAAGGCGCUUGAGAGAACUCGGGUGAAGGAACUAGGCAAAAUGGUGCCGUAACUUCGGGAGAAGGCACGCUGGUGUGUAGGUGAAGCCCCUGCGGGUGGAGCUGAGACCAGUCGAAGAUACCAGCUGGCUGCAACUGUUUAUUAAAAACACAGCACUGUGCAAACACGAAAGUGGACGUAUACGGUGUGACGCCUGCCCGGUGCCGGAAGGUUAAUUGAUGGGGUUAUCCGUAAGGAGAAGCUCUUGAUCGAAGCCCCGGUAAACGGCGGCCGUAACUAUAACGGUCCUAAGGUAGCGAAAUUCCUUGUCGGGUAAGUUCCGACCUGCACGAAUGGCGUAAUGAUGGCCAGGCUGUCUCCACCCGAGACUCAGUGAAAUUGAACUCGCUGUGAAGAUGCAGUGUACCCGCGGCAAGACGGAAAGACCCCGUGAACCUUUACUAUAGCUUGACACUGAACAUUGAGCCUUGAUGUGUAGGAUAGGUGGGAGGCUUUGAAGCGUGGACGCCAGUCUGCGUGGAGCCAACCUUGAAAUACCACCCUUUAAUGUUUGAUGUUCUAACGUUGGCCCCUGACCGGGGUUGCGGACAGUGUCUGGUGGGUAGUUUGACUGGGGCGGUCUCCUCCCAAAGCGUAACGGAGGAGCACGAAGGUUAGCUAAUCCUGGUCGGACAUCAGGAGGUUAGUGCAAUGGCAUAAGCUAGCUUGACUGCGAGCGUGACGGCGCGAGCAGGUGCGAAAGCAGGUCAUAGUGAUCCGGUGGUUCUGAAUGGAAGGGCCAUCGCUCAACGGAUAAAAGGUACUCCGGGGAUAACAGGCUGAUACCGCCCAAGAGUUCAUAUCGACGGCGGUGUUUGGCACCUCGAUGUCGGCUCAUCACAUCCUGGGGCUGAAGUAGGUCCCAAGGGUAUGGCUGUUCGCCAUUUAAAGUGGUACGCGAGCUGGGUUUAGAACGUCGUGAGACAGUUCGGUCCCUAUCUGCCGUGGGCGCUGGAGAAUUGAGGGGGGCUGCUCCUAGUACGAGAGGACCGGAGUGGACGCAUCACUGGUGUUCGGGUUGUCAUGCCAAUGGCACUGCCCGGUAGCUAAAUGCGGAAGAGAUAAGUGCUGAAAGCAUCUAAGCACGAAACUUGCCCCGAGAUGAGUUCUCCCUGAGACUUUAAGUCUCCUGAAGGAACGUUAAAGACGAUGACGUUGAUAGGCCGGGUGUGUAAGCGCAGCGAUGCGUUGAGCUAACCGGUACUAAUGAACCGUGAGGCUUAACCUUACAACGCCGAAG
rnacentral:rRNA from 1 species